UUCGGCUCUGACAGUCCACCCGUACAUAUGUUUCCGUGCUUGACAAUGAGUUCAAUCACGUCACAAUUUAUGGGUCGCCGGUCAUUGAGUUGAACAUU
rnacentral:pre_miRNA from 13 species